rnacentral:misc_RNA from 1 species
UUAAGUUCAGCGGGUAUUCCUACCUGAUCCGAGGUCAACACUUAGGUAAAUGUAUAACAAGACCGUCGCCCAUCAGAGUCGUCCCAGAUACAUGCUUAGUAAAAAGCUCCUUGUACCCGGUUCCCUCUGGGGCGCCGUCACUAUCUUUGAGACCAGUUGAUAGGCAAAGCUAUAACUAAAAUCCAACACCAAGCAAGGCU